rnacentral:rRNA from 1 species
GGAACGUGCCCUUGACUUUGGUAUAGCACUUGGAAACAGGUGGUAAUCCCGAAUAUUCAGUUUCCCGGGCAUCCGGGGGGUUGGAAAGCUUUUGCGGUCAGGGAUCGUCUCGCGGCCUAUCAGCUUGUUGGUGGGGUAGUGGCCUACCAAGGCUUUGACGGGUAGCCGGCCUGAGAGGGCGACCGGCCACAUUGGGACUGAGAUACGGCCCAGACUCCUACGGGAGGCAGCAGUGGGGAAUAUUGCACAAUGGGCGGAAGCCUGAUGCAGCAACGCCGCGUGCGGGAUGACGGCCUUCGGGUUGUAAACCGCUUUCACCCAUGACGAAGCUUUUGUGACGGUAGUGGGGGAAGAAGCACCGGCCAACUACGUGCCAGCAGCCGCGGUGAUACGUAGGGUGCGAGCGUUGUCCGGAAUUAUUGGGCGUAAAGAGCUUGUAGGCGGUUGAUCGCGUCGAUAGUGAAAUCCCGGGGCUUAACUUCGGGCUUGCUGUCGAUACGGGUUGACUUGAGGAAGGUAGGGGAGAAUGGAAUUCCCGGUGGAGCGGUGGAAUGCGCAGAUAUCGGGAGGAACACCAGUGGCGAAGGCGGUUCUCUGGACCUUUCCUGACGCUGAGAAGCGAAAGCGUGGGGAGCAAACAGGCUUAGAUACCCUGGUAGUCCACGCUGUAAACGGUGGGUACUAGGUGUGGGUCACAUUCCACGUGGUCCGUGCCGUAGCUAACGCAUUAAGUACCCCGCCUGGGGAGUACGGCCGCAAGGCUAAAACUCAAAGGAAUUGACGGGGCCCCGCACAAGCGGCGGAGCAUGCGGAUUAAUUCGAUGCAACGCGAAGAACCUUACCUGGGUUUGACAUGUGCCGGAAGCAUUCAGAGAUGGGUGUGCCUUUUUGGCCGGUUCACAGGUG